GAUGAACGCUAGCGGCAGGCCUAACACAUGCAAGUCGAGGGGCAGCACAGAAACAGCAAUGUUUUGGUGGCGACCGGCGGACGGGUGCGUAACGCGUAUGCAACCUACCUUUAACAGGGGGAUAACGGAGAGAAAUUUCCACUAAUACCCCAUAACAUCGAUCAAGGCAUCUUGAUUGGUUGAAAACUCCGGUGGUUAAAGAUGGGCAUGCGGUGUAUUAGGUAGUUGGUUAGGUAAUGGCUCACCAAGCCUACGAUACAUAGGGGGACUGAGAGGUUAGCCCCCCAGACUGGUACUGAGACACGGACCAGACUCCUACGGGAGGCAGCAGUGAGGAAUAUUGGUCAAUGGGGGCAACCCUGAACCAGCCAUGCCGCGUGCAGGAAGACGGCUCUAUGAGUUGUAAACUGCUUUUAAACAGGGAUAAAGCACAGUAUGUAUACUGUGUUGAAGGUACUGUAAGAAUAAGGAUCGGCUAACUCCGUGCCAGCCGCCGCAGUAA
rnacentral:rRNA from 1 species